UACAGGGGGGGGCAAGCGGUUGUUCGGAAUUACUGGGCGUAAAGGGGCUCGUAGGUGGCCAACUAAGUCAGACGUGAAAUCCCUCAGCUUAACUGGGAACUGCGUCUGAUACUGGAUGGCUUGAGUUGGAGAGGAUGCGGAAUUCCAGGUGUAGCGUGAUGCGUAGAUAUCUGAGACACGUGCGAGCGCAUCUGACACACUGACACUGAGAGCGAGCAGAGCACGAGUAGAUACGUAGUCAGACAGUCUCUGCUACGU
rnacentral:rRNA from 1 species